UACGAAGGGGGCUAGCGUUGCUCGGAAUUACUGGGCGUAAAGCGCACGUAGGCGGCUUUCUAAGUCGGGGGUGAAAUCCUGGAGCUCAACUCCAGAACUGCCUUCGAUACUGGAAAGCUCGAGUCCGGGAGAGGUGAGUGGAACUGCGAGUGUAGAGGUGAAAUUCGUAGAUAUUCGCAAGAACACCAGUGGCGAAGGCGGCUCACUGGCCCGGUACUGACGCUGAGGCACGAAAGCAUGGGGAGCAAACAGG
rnacentral:rRNA from 1 species